rnacentral:rRNA from 1 species
UACGGAGGGUGCAAGCGUUGCCCGGAAUCACUGGGCGUAAAGGGCGCGUAGGCGGCUCAUGAAGGCUGUGGUGAAAGCCCGGGGCUCAACCCCGGGUCGGCCGUGGCAACUGCUGGGCUGGAGCACAGUAGAGGCGGGUGGAAUUCCGGGUGUAGCGGUGGAAUGCGUAGAGAUCCGGAAGAACACCGGUGGCGAAGGCGGCCCGCUGGGCUGUUGCUGACGCUGAGGCGCGACAGCGUGGGGAGCAAACAGG